rnacentral:rRNA from 1 species
CACGUAGGGCGCAAGCGUUGUCCGGAAUUAUUGGGCGUAAAGAGCUCGUAGGCGGUCUGUUGCGUCCGCUGUGAAAAACUCGGGGCUUAACCCCGAACUUGCAGUGGGUACGGGCAGACUAGAGUGUGGUAGGGGAGACUGGAAUUCCUGGUGUAGCGGUGAAAUGCGCAGAUAUCAGGAGGAACACCGAUGGCGAAGGCAGGUCUCUGGGCCAUAACUGACGCUGAGAGGCGAAAGCAUGGGGAGCGAACAGG